rnacentral:rRNA from 1 species
AGCAGCCGCGGUAAUUCCAGCUCCAAUAGCGUAUAUUAAAGUUGCUGCAGUUAAAAAGCUCGUAGUUGAAUUUCGGGAUUGACACAUCGGUCGUGCCUUAAGGGGUAUGAACUGGUGUAGUCAAUUUCUCACCUUCUGGAGAACCGCGAUGCCCUUAAUUGGGUGUCGCGGGGAACCAGGACCUUUACUUUGAAAAAAUUAGAGUGUUUAAAGCAGGCAUUUUGCUUGAAUACAUUAGCAUGGAAUAAUAAAAUAGGACGGCAUGAUUCUAUUUUGUUGGUUUCUAGGAUCACCGUAAUGAUUAAUAGGGAUAGUUGGGGGCAUUAGUAUUCAAUUGUCAGAGGUGAAAUUCUUGGAUUUAUUGAAGACUAACUACUGCGAAAGCAUUUGCCAAGGAUGUUUUCAUUAAUCAAGAACGAAAGUUAGGGGAUCGAAGACGAUCAGAUACCGUCGUAGUCUUAACCAUAAACUAUGCCGACUAGGAAUCAGACGAUGUAAUUUUUUAAUGACUCGUUUGGCA